UACGUAGGGGGCAAGCGUUAUCCGGAUUUACUGGGUGUAAAGGGAGCGCAGACGGCGGUGCAAGUCUGAUGUGAAAGGCGGGGGCUCAACUCCCGGACUGCAUUGGAAACUGUGCUGCUGGAGUGUCGGAGGGGCAAGCGGAAUUCCUAGUGUAGCGGUGAAAUGCGUAGAUAUUAGGAGGAACACCAGUGGCGAAGGCGGCUUGCUGGACGAUAACUGACGUUGAGGCUCGAAAGCGUGGGGAGCAAAC
rnacentral:rRNA from 1 species